rnacentral:rRNA from 1 species
UACGUAGGGGGCAAGCGUUGUCCGGAUUUAUUGGGCGUAAAGAGCGUGUAGGCGGCCAUACAGGUCCGUUGUGAAAACUAGAGGCUUAACCUCCAGACGUCGAUGGAAACCGUAUGGCUAGAGUCCGGAAGAGGAGAGUGGAAUUCCUGGUGUAGCGGUGAAAUGCGCAGAUAUCAGGAAGAACACCCGUGGCGAAGGCGGCUCUCUGGGACGGUACUGACGCUGAGACGCGAAAGCGUGGGGAGCGAACAGG